UCGCGCGAUUGGAGCGGCCGAUAUCAGAUUAGGUAGUUGGUAGGGUAAAGGCCUACCAAGCCAACGAUCUGUAGCUGGGUCUGAGAGGACGACCCAGCCACACUGGAACUGAGACACGGUCCAGACUCCUACGGGAGGCAGCAGUGGGAAUUUUGGACAAUGGGCGAAAGCCUGAUCCAGCCAUUCCGCGUGCAGGAUGAAGGCCCUCGGGUUGUAAACUGCUUUUGUACAGAACGAAAGGUUUCUAUUAAUACUAGGAGCUCAUGACGGUACUGUAAGAAUAAGCACCGGCUAACUACGUG
rnacentral:rRNA from 1 species